GAUGACUAUACAUGAAAUAUUAAUUCAUUCCUGAGAGAUCACAAAACACGUAAUACUUCCGAUGGAACAACUGAAUAUAGAAGCACAAGAAAGUAGCAAAAAAAUCGCAUUCCACGUCGUUUCACGUGUCCGACCUUUUUCAACUAAUUUCAUUUCGAGAAACCACGGUGAAGCUACUAGCUCGACUGAAGUGUGCUAUCAGUCCAUGAUUUUGCCCACCAUAUUCUCUGACUUGCGAUCGAUGAUCCAAAUGGGUCGGGAAACGAAUGUUUAUAUAUUGUUCGAGGACGCAGAUAAGAACGUACACCGAUCAAUUAUUUCCCCGCGGCAUGAUUGAGCGACCAGAGCGACAAAAAUGUUUACGACUCACGAUUAGAUGCGACCGACGUUGUCAUUGAUAUCGUUGUGGUCCGAGGAACAUUAUUAUGAAGCCGCCAUCAUCAAAUAGGAAUCGUCGAAUCCCGUGAAAGAAGUGAAGAUUGGAAGAAAUUUGUAACAAAAGCUGGGCAAUGAAAGAAAUAGCGAUUUGAAAUUGAUGACAACCUUCCAUAUCUUGAAAUUUUCUCUGUGAUCGAGCAAUAAUCUGCACAAAAGAAUUACACAAAAUGUUAAAGUAAUGUAUAAAAGUAAUAAAUUAUAUAAAAAUAAAACGACAAUCUACGUUAAAUACGCACAAACGUGACUACCAAACGUCGUUUCGCGACGUCCAACCACAUCAGUCAGCGAUAUUAAACUGGCACCUCACUCCACGGUUUGUCUAGCGAAUAAUGGUGACGAGGAAUGAAAAUAGCAGAGGCUGCUCUUCGGUAAGUCGAGCGGUACGAAUUCAAGUCGUCAGAUUCCUGGAAAAAAUAUGUUUUUCUUAGCGCCCUUAUUAUGUUUCAAACAAAGAAACAUUACGAUAGGCUGAAGGCGUAAAAAGUAAACACGCAUCGAAAUAAAAUGAUGCUACUGGCCAGAAAAUUUUAAUAAACAGAGAGAGAGAGAGAGAGGGAAAAGAAGAGGUUAUGAAAAGAGAAAAAGAAAACUAAAUGAAGUAAUUUUCAGAAUCAAUCAAUGAUCUGUAUAGAAGAAACCACCAAGUAUAUUAAUAUAAAGCAAAAUCCUUUAAUCGCACUCAGAAUAACUAUCAAAUUUUAGAUAUAAAAGGACCAACUUGUUACUUAAGUGCCUAAAAAAUAUUUAGAACUAUAGUAGAAAAAAUUCAACAGUUGCUGUAAUUACAUGGUUCAAGAUCGUAACGUAACAAAAAAUACCUAAAUAGCCAGAGGUGGGUGAUAUUUACACUGAAUGUACGGAAGGAAAGUUAUGUUCGACAAAUUUGAUUGAUACUUAAAAAUCUGUAAUACACGCCUUUACAAUGUAUCUUGAGUUGUUCCACUUGAACCAUAAUAUUCAUCUGAGAUACUUAUUGUGUAUCACCUCCAGCCUGCAUCGCUCUUUCCGAUCCCAUAUCUCUGCUCUAUACAGCAUGAUGCUUUUAAUUGGAGGUCAAAUAACUUAAUCCUUUUGUUGAAGUCGCCUCUGAAUUUUCUUUGUUCAAUUUCUAGACCUGUCCCAUUGAGUGCGACAAAGACAGACUGUACGUGCGUUAAUCAAAAGAGGCGAUAGUGUCCGACAAGGAUGAGCUACACUGGUGGUGAUAGAAAAGGAAGACGAUAAUGUGCAACAAGGAUGUAUAAGGGCAUAAGCGUAUUGAAAUGCUCCUAGACGUAUCGAGACGCACGUAGAUACGUGGCGACGCGUAGAAACGCGCGCAAACAGCUGAAGAUGCGUGGAAACGUGCCUGUACCUCGUGUGUGCCACUAGUAUACUGAAUCGAUUGCGAUGUAUACGAUACGACAAUGAUGUACUUCAAAUUGUAUGGCACAAAAAAUUAUUGCAUGUUAUUCUGUACCUCGUCUGUGAUUCUGUAUAAAGAUAUGUCUAUUAUCAUUGGCUACGGUCAUAUAUGAUUUAUAUGACCGUGAUUGCUAACCAAGGACAGAACGUCUUGAAUAGGUCCAACCUAUACCUAGUUUUUGGCGUUAUAAUAUAAUCGUGAAUCCCAGGAUCGACCAUUGAAACCGGUUUUCAGGUGGACGCUUUCCCCACUGAAUUAACGGUAG